AAAUAUUUAAUAGAAAAAUAAUCUUUUUUUCUAGAAUAUGCACGAAUAUGCAUAUCAUAUAUCUAUAGAAGAAAGGUGAAGAACAUCUCCAUCAGUUAUUUACAUCACAUCGUGAUACACCUCACGAAAACACAAACAACUCCACUUUAUCCUAACAUAGUCUACUCCUCCCCAAUGCUCCACCGUAUUAGACCUGCAAACACAUAAUCAACAUUUUCUUUAAUGAGCACGGCCAACGACCACGUUCUACCUCAGUCAAUUAGUCCCCGGAACGCCAAUUUUCGCUGGUUGGGCCCAUUUUUAAGUCUGACGAUCCCAUGACGAACCCAGCAAACUGGGGGCGCUUUGGGUCUCCGGCAGAAGAAAAAACGACGCGUGGGUUGUCCCUAUCAGGCGCAAAAGCCGUUUUCCUCCUUCAGAUCCCGGCGCCGUUCACCUCCCUACCGCCGCUACAAAGGCCAUCUCCCUUGCGACCAAGGGUGGGUUUGCCCCGGAUUCGCUCUAGCCCACAAGUUUGUUUGACCACUCCAAAAGUUAAGCACCCGAAAUAUGUGCUAGUUCGCUCAUGUAUCCCAGAAUUUUUUUGGCACCAACAUGGUUAUUCUCUACUUAAUACUUGACUGAAAUGACCCUUAACCAAAGCAACUAUGUUGUUAUAUGAAACGGAAACACAACUAGAAGAUGAUGAUCAACGAUGAUAGUAAUAUUCUAGCCACAGAUCAGCGAGAGAUACCAUCCUUCAUGAUUUUUUUAACAGGCAUUCGGCAAAUCGACAUAACAACACCCAACAAUACUCUUCAAAUUGAUACAAAAGCUGAAAAUUUCACGGUACCUAAUGUUACUCAAAACAUAAUUAAUGGUUUCAGCCUGUCUUGUAGAUUGUGGAGCUGUGCAUGCAAAUUUGGACGGUAGUGAUCCUCGAGGAUUUUAUGCACGGGGACUGAAGUGGAGUUGUUCGAUACGAUGAGUUUCAUAGUCAACGCGUGUAGAUACUCAGCUGUUUCAAGUUCAGCUGACAUAGUUAUUUCUUAUUUCCUGGACAGAUUUUCUGAUCAUGUGUAUGUCCAGGUCGCUGCGGCCAUGUCCAUGCUAUUUAUCUUCCAUUAUAUAUUUUUUACUAACUGACUGAGUGUUAUUUGAAUGGAAGAGAGCAUACCAUUGAAAAAUGCAGUUUUCAUUUUCUUGUACAGUGGUACUUAUAUUCAGUGGCGGAGCUAGCUAAUUGCCAAAGCCUGGGCACGCUGUAAACAAAGAUUUUUUCAUAUAUAUAUAUCAAACAUCACUAGUAUCAUAUAUUUGAAUAAACAGUAUGCGCAAUAUACGCACUAAUGUUUCAUAGAUGACAGAAGUAAAUAAAAACAAGACAUACAAUAGNNAAUAACUCGCUAAGCACUAGACACACAAUCUAACCUUUGUCUUGACGAUAAUAGUCCAAUCUUCAAUGUUCAUCGUUGUGCACACAAGAGAACCUACAAGAUACACCACAUUACCAAAUUAUAUAUUUUUCACUGAGAUUAAAUACAUUAGAUCUGCUCAACUCUGAAGUUUUAACAAACAUAACUGCAUAAUUAGAGCCGACACAAUCAAUGUUUAAAUGCACAAUUUCUUGAUAAAAUAGAGAGAUUAAUUCACCUAAUUGCCGCUUGCCGCUAGCCCUACUUGUUGGUGGUAGACUGCUAUUAGAUGCCACUUCACCAUGGCCUUGCACAGGUUGAGUGUUCGCUGGCGCUUCUCGUGCGGCCUUGCGAUCUUUCUGCCGACCUGUCCGAUGAUAAUCCGGCAGUUUGCCUCGCCGGCUCGCCGGCUAGGAGUAGCAGCGGCGCAGCAGUUCCUAGGUCACGGACUCACAGCGUCACGUCCAGGACUUCGUCUCGCCUAGGUACGCACACGAACAGGAAGCUGAUGGAUUCAGAUACUUCUAAU
rnacentral:lncRNA from 1 species